GGGGGAAAAAGUAGUGAUGAAGCUCAGCUGGGGAAGAAUAGGAGGGGCCCGAUAGAGCCCAGUAGCUGACAGUUGAAGCGGCUGCAACUCUCAGGAUGAGAGAAGGCAAGAUAGGAAAGUAGCCCAUGGAUACAGUAACAAGGUUUAGGACUGGGCAGACAUUGACUGAUCGUUGUAGAGUCCCUGGGCUGGAAGCUAGGACAGAAAGUGGGCCUGGGUUCCCCUACCUGUCACUGGGGAAGUGAUGCUGUUAAGGAGCAGAGGGUCCCAAGAGACUAUGACACACAAACUCCAACCCGGAAGGGGACAAUUAUAGUGACCUGCCGGAGCGCCAAGCCAUAAAGCAGGAGCAGUCAAGUCCCAAGCAAGCAAGAUAGGGAGAGAGGCAGAGUGAGCAACGACAGGAAGUGACUGGCAGUCCUAAUCCCCAGAAGGAGGCGCUCCAGCGCAAACAGACAGGACUCCUGGUCUACAGAGAGCCCCAAUCCUGAGGGAAGGGUUGGAGGGACUGAGCCUACUGAGGCCCCAUAAGACCACGUGCUUGUCCUCAGCUGAAUCUGUGAUGAACUUGAAACCACGAGGAAACUCCUUGGCAUUGCAUGGAUGGGGAACAUGCAUCUACCUGACAACAAAGGAUAUGGCAAUUUGGAUUACUGGUCAGAUCACAAGAAUCCAAAGGCAUGCACUUCCAGUAUUGAAGGCUUCCUUGUACAGACUUCAUCAAGGACAAAAUAUUGGCCCCUUCUGUUGACCCAGGCACCCACAAACUCCUUGUGCAGAUGCCACUAUAGUCUGGAACAAUUGGGGGAGUGGCUGGGGUUGUCCAUCCCCCAUCAACAGGGAAAUUGUGAGCUAUCCACCUGCAUGAGUAGAGAAAACUGUGGGAAGGGAAAAGAAGACAUUGCCCAUGGUCCUUGAACACAAAGUAUGGGCAAGGUUCUUCCCACCCCCUGAAGGGUGCAUGAGGGAGGAUCAGUUAGGCUUCCAUUGUACUGCACUCCCAGGGAGUAGCAUCAGGAGUUUUGUGGAACGUGGAAUAAACUGAGUCACAACAGGUAGGUUAGGAGAAGGGGCCAGGGAGGAGCAGCUCUGUGACAUUACAACAAAGAUCUCUUUAAUCUUCUUUUACAGUUCAUAUGAGGAGUCUACAUUAGAAUUUGUGAUAGCAACACAAGGAUAUGCUAGUUAUUACAAUCUAUGAUUUUUAAAACAUCUAUUCUCAAUAGGCAAAGUACAAGAAUUCUCUGCCCUCUAAACUUCCAGGAACCAUAGACAAUGGAGAAGGGCAGUCUGUGAAUAAUUCUUCAUUUUCCCAAGAGUGGUUUAGAGCAGUGGAGCAGUGGUUUUCAACCUUUUUUCAUUUGCAAACCCUUAAAAAAUUUCAAACGGAGGUGCAGACCCUAGGUUCAUUGACAGCAAUUCCGUGCCCCGGGGCCAGGACCAUCCCUGGGGAGGCAGGCAGAAGUGAUGAAUCUGUCACUCCCGGGACCGCCCAUCACUUCCGGGACAGACUGAGUUGGGCAAUUGCAACGGCCCACAGGGGUCUGGAGUGGCUGUGCCUGCCUAGGAGCCCUGUGGCCCACCCGGGCAAUUUAAAAGGGUCCGGGGCUCCCGGCCACCACUGCCGCCAUUGCCCCCUUUGGCCCUCCUCCCUCCCCUUCGGCAGGCCUGGCAGACCCCUUUGGAAAUCUUACACAUACUCUGCAGUCCCCCAAGGGUCUACAGACCAUAGGCUGAAAAACACUGUUCUAUGGUAACAACCUUUUGUGGACCCCUUAGAUAUAAUCUGUGGACCCCUGGUUGUCCACGGACUACAGGUUGAAAACCACUGGGUUAGAGAGAUGAAAUCUUGAGAGUCUGAAGGCAGCAACUUCUAAGGCCACAGAUGUAACAGUUUCAGGACCAUCGUACUGUAUUUCAGAAAUUUUCUGCUUUCAGUUGGUUUGUUUGCUGCACAGAGAUUAAGUGGAUUAAUAUAUAUGUCUGUGUAUAGCAUUCUGACAAUGUCAGAAUAGAGCCCUGAGUUUUAAAUUAAUGAUUUUAAACAAACAAGGUAGUGAGAAACAACUGGAAACAAAUAAGAAAAUUUUGAAAAUAGUGAAGGGUACAUAUUGGAGGGAGCUGAGCUUCAUGUAUGGAUUUAAAUGAAUGAAUGAAUAAAUAAAGCAAAUGUUUUGUCAAUAUUGAUUUGC